AUGGAUCCUGACUCGUGUGUGUGUGUGGAAAAAUCUGUGGCUCUUUUAUAGGGACAGAUGAUUUUAGUGUAGAGAAACAGCAUGGCCUUUGAUAUUUAUUCAGUCUCUGUUUCACAUUUGCAUUUGCCUUGCUUUUCUGUACAGUUCUGUACCAUGUAUUCUUAUGUCUCACCAAUUCUUUAUUUGCCUCUCCAACCAGCUGCAUGCCUACUUCGUGCUCGAAUUUGCCGGUGGGGGAACGCUGCACAGAAUGAUUUCUGCUCAAGGAAAUCUACCAAUGAAGAGCAUUGACUUCUGAAGAAGCGUCUUGGAGUAAAUGGAAACAUCAAGGAGCACCCGUUCUAUGCCAGAAUUAACUGGAGUGAGCUGGAAAACAAAACAGCAAAGACCCCUUUCCAGCCCAAAAUUCCUCCAGCAGAUAAUUUAACAGUCACCGAACCAAGAUUCUGCACUGAAACUUCCAAGACGGAUAAGGUGGAAGACUUCUCCUAUGUGGAUUCCAACUGGAAAUGGCAGGAGUAAAGGAUUUUCUGUGCUCAUGUGACCUAACAUCAAACUGCCUGUACAGCAAGAGAUGAUGGCAACAUACCACCCAUGGCUAAUUCCAUCUGUGAACAUCAGAUCUGCCAUCUACAACUGUCAACUGCAAGUGCUUGGCUCUUCAACCAACAACAGCAGCACCACACAGGAUCCUUAGAACAAGAAGACAAACAUCAUUGAAGGCUGUCACAAGCAAAGAAGAGCUGCAAGCUGGAUUUCCUAUUGGAUUUUUGAUGAACUUCCUUUAGAAGAAAACAUCAAUACUGAACAUACAGUGCACUGUACAAGAUCAGCGUUCAGUAUAUUUUCAAAUUCUUUAUAUAGGGUAAGUUACAUAAGGUAAGUGGGGUAAGUAUGGUAAUAGGAAUGUUAUGUUUCCUUCUUUUUCAUCUUCUCUUAUUCUUUCUCUAGCUUUCUUUUUCACAUACAAAUAUGAUAGGAAUAACACUAUGGUUCUUUCCUUCUUAUCUUUUCUUCUCAUCUCCUUCCAUUUUUUCCCAAUUUUUUUUUUUAGCAUUUUCAUUGCUCGUGUAUUUCUAUAACCUUCUUUUUCAACUUAAAUAUAUGUUACAAGUUCCAACAAGUUAAUUAUAAAUUUAUGGGGAUAGGUGUGUUUGGAUUUUUGGGAUUGGGAAAGGGGGGAUAUAUAUAGGUGGGAUAAAUGAUAUGGGAAUAUUAAUGUUAAGAUUCUGUCUUUCUUAUCUUUCCUUCUCUGUCGUCUUUUAACCUCUCAUGUGUUUCUAUUUUCUCUCGUGUGAAUGGUAUGAAAUGGUGUGUGAAUGCAAAUAGGGUUCCUCGUUGCACCAGUAUAGAAGAUGAACAUAGAGCACCUUCUGACUGGCUGCAAGUUUAAUUUAGAUCAUUAUUAAAAUAUAGAAAAAUCUCUGAGGCUUGUGCCUCUUGAACCCAGUAGGAGGGAGUAAUAAUGUAGCAGAUGAAGCUGUAGCUGUAGGCCCCUUUUUAAAACAUAAAACUAAGCCCAUCAGUGGUAUGAAUGUGAUUUGAAUAGAGUUUAGGGAGGCUCAGGGUUUCGGCUCAAAGCAAUAAGAAUAGACUAGGCAGAGCUGUAUGUCCCCAAAUGCUGCCUAGCCACAACUCGCUCCUCCCCCUUCCCCCAUGAACCAUAUUUUAGGCAAGAUAAAUAGGCCCAUCAUAAUCCUCAUCUCCCAUAACCAGGUCUUUUAGAUAAUAAAAGGCUACUGGUGUUAAUAGUCAGUACACUGUUGAUCCAGGGAUUAGUCCGAUUGCCGUUUUGGAGUCAGGAAGGAAUUUUUCCCCAUCUAAAGCAAAUUGGAGAUGUCUACAGAUGGGUUUUUUGCCUUCCUCUGGAUCAUCUAGAUGUUAGGUUGAUUUAACCUGAUGGGCACGCUCACCCUCAAUUACUGUAUAACGGUGUCCUUAAUUCAUUGAUAGGGCAAAUCAAAUUUUUACUGAAUAGGGAAGUACUGGGGGAAAUUAUAUAGCUAGUAAAGCAGUGGGUAGUGGAAUCCCAGUCCUACUGACUAUGGGAUUUGCCACAGGGACAUAGAAAAUAGUGAGUGAAUGAGUGAGUGAGAGCAUGUGGGUGUGUGGAAGUGUGUGUGUGUGUUAUUGUAGAUUUUCCAUUGGGGAACUUUUGUUCCUUACACCUCCCAGUCUGAUCUGAGGAGGAGGGGUCCCAUGACGGCUUAUAUCAGCCUCUACCUGGCCAGAUAGGGAACUAUUGCAGCGAGUCAUCGGGUGAGCCAUUUGCUGCAAUAGAUGUGUGAAUGGACA